rnacentral:rRNA from 1 species
UGGGUGAUCUGCCCUGCACUUUGGGUUAAGCCUGGGAAACUGGGUCUAAUACCGGAUAUACCCUGCUGGUCGCAUGGCCUGGUGGGGGAAAGCUUUUGCGGUGUGGGAUGGGCCCGCGGCCUAUCAGCUUGUUGGUGGGGUGAUGGCCUACCAAGGCGACGACGGGUAGCCGGCCUGAGAGGGUGUCCGGCCACACUGGGACUGAGACACGGCCCAGACUCCUACGGGAGGCAGCA